AUGCGUUGGAUGUUUCUGUUUUCCCUCAUCUUCGAUCUGGUUCUAGAGCAGAGAGAGAAGGAGAGUUCCGUUCAAUAUCCACCGUUCGUCCUCCAUUGUAGUUCGCUGGCAUAGGUGAUCGUGGGUUCGUGAUGAUCUGCCGUGCUAGAAGUCUGAGUCACGAGUUUCCCCUUUCCCCUGCCUCACCGCUGAUUCCUCAUCUUCUUUCUCUUCGUGCGGCAGAGACGGCCAAGCGCGGCGUAGUCUUCUCCGUACUAUCCCUAGGCAACCAUUGUAGGUGAGGAUCGUCUUCUUGCUUCUGCUUGUCUGUGCAGCCAAGGUCUCCUUCUAUCACUCUUUCGUGCUUGCCAUUGCUAAUCUAGUUUAAGGGAGCUUUGAAAUUUUCCCUGCUUUUGGCGUUCAUGAUUCAAGAAACAGAACGCAAAAACUAAAUUAGAAAGGAAAGAACAAAACACACGAGAGGGAGAGAGGAAGAAGAGAAGAGAAAGAGAGGGAGUUAGGUUUGAAUUUAGGAGGUUUUGCGACCGUUGCGAGCUCGGCUACACGAUAGGAAUCGUUGGUGAAAUUUGUUCAGAAGUUAAGAAAUAAGUUGAGUCCUAUUUUGUAUAAAAGAAACCCUUUUGGUACCAAAAGGUUGAGGUCCAAGCGAAGGAACCAGUGGAGGAUGGGGAAAGGAGCAUAACUAGGGGUUGUUUGUGAAUUGUAAAGAAUUGUAAUCCAUUUCUUUUGAGCAAGUCUAUUGUAAUGUAUUUAGGAUUAGGGUGACAGUAGGAUGUGAUUAUGUUUAUGUGUGUGAGUAUGUUUGGAUUGUAUGGCUUAUGUAUGAAUUUUUGUUUGCUUAUAGACUUGUGGCUAGGAAACUUGGGCUACGGUGUGUGGUUUCGAUGAAUUUAUUUAGUAGAUCAAGUUUUCACUACAAGUAAAUAUUUAUUUUAAUAUAUAUGUGAUUCCACAAAUAAAUACAAAGUGGUUACAUUACAAAUGGUGUGCUAUGGGCAAACAUACACCUUAGAUAGAGAGAGUGGAUACGUGGGCCCCACAAAGAUCUCUGAGCCAAGUGAAAAUGUUUAGCGUGUGUAUUUAUAUGUGUAUAUG